rnacentral:lncRNA from 1 species
GCCCAAGAACCAGCCUCACCCAGGCUUUUGAUAGUCUCAAGGAAUUCUGUCUAUGAGCAUUUCUAUAAAUGUUCUGUCUCUGUUUGGAUAAUAAAUUUGGAUGAAGGCCUUGCAGCACAUGUGCAUCAGGGGCUUGGAUGUGUUUUCCUGUGCUGAUGUUUGGCAGGCACAUGAGAUAACAGGAAAGAUGCAAUGUGUAGUCCUUGUCUGGGGAAUGCAGGCGUAGUUGAAAAGCAAGAUUUAAGAUGUGCACCCACUGUGUAGCUGAUAUACUUCGGCGACAAUGAAAGCCAUGGUGCAUCCAAGUCAAUCCCAGGUGCAACCAAAACAAAACCCCACUGGAACUGUUUCAAGGAUGCAGACCUGGCAAGCAGAAAGGGAGAAGGCUGGUUACCUCCCAGGUGUUUUGGAUCUGCAGUGUCUUACAGCAGGGGCAAGUUCUUCUACAGAGGGAACCACUCUUCAUAUACAAACAAAGUCCGAGGAACCUACGAGUUCUUGUGGCAGCAUUAACACUUUGAUUCCUGACAUUGUGGCAGAGCACCUAGUUUUACACUGAUCAGAGACAUAUCUGCCCACUCUGAGGACUGCUAUUCAAACAGAAGAAAUGCAGCAUAGCUUUUCCUCUGAGGUACAGCCACAAGCAAAGGAAGUGAUCCACUUCAUAACCUCCUAAGCACAGACACUCUUUCAGAUAUGUAAAGUAGUGGUGCUGUUGGGAAAUGGACAUGUUCACAUAAAACACAUGGUUGCAUUCUGUCCUCUUGAUUUCUUCCACUUAUAGUGAGAACUGCAAUUGGAUCGUAACACUGCCUGAAAUAUAUUGGUUACUGAUGAGUCAUGCCACUGAAAAAGGGCUGCUUACAUCAUGUUACUCCACUGCUACUCUAUUACUCUCUUGCUACCAUGUUCUUAUGAUGAAGGGUUGUUGUGCCAGGCCUUUGGGAGGAAAGUCUGGAGAUGAGAUGUGAAUGCAUUUAAUAAAGAAGCCCAGAUACCAGAAAUAGGUUUUUCA